GGUGAGAUGGCCGAGUUGGUCUAAGGCGUGAGACUAAGGUAAUCUUGAUUAUAUAAUCUCAUCUCUUCGGGGGCGUGGGUUCGAAUCCCACUCUCAUCA